rnacentral:rRNA from 1 species
CUAUACUGCAAGUCGAGCGGACAGAUGGGAGCUUGCUCCCUGAUGUUAGCGGCGGACGGGUGAGUAACACGUGGGUAACCUGCCUGUAAGACUGGGAUAACUCCGGGAAACCGGGGCUAAUACCGGAUGGUUGUUUGAACCGCAUGGUUCAAACAUAAAAGGUGGCUUCGGCUACCACUUACAGAUGGACCCGCGGCGCAUUAGCUAGUUGGUGAGGUAACGGCUCACCAAGGCAACGAUGCGUAGCCGACCUGAGAGGGUGAUCGGCCACACUGGGACUGAGACACGGCCCAGACUCCUACGGGAGGCAGCAGUAGGGAAUCUUCCGCAAUGGACGAAAGUCUGACGGAGCAACGCCGCGUGAGUGAUGAAGGUUUUCGGAUCGUAAAGCUCUGUUGUUAGGGAAGAACAAGUACCGUUCGAAUAGGGCGGUACCUUGACGGUACCUAACCAGAAAGCCACGGCUAACUACGUGCCAGCAGCCGCGGUAAUACGUAGGUGGCAAGCGUUGUCCGGAAUUAUUGGGCGUAAAGGGCUCGCAGGCGGUUUCUUAAGUCUGAUGUGAAAGCCCCCGGCUCAACCGGGGAGGGUCAUUGGAAACUGGGGAACUUGAGUGCAGAAGAGGAGAGUGGAAUUCCACGUGUAGCUGUGAAAUGCUUAUAGAUGUGUAGGAACACCAUUGUUGAAUGCUACUCUCUUGUCUUUUACUGUUUCUUUA